rnacentral:tRNA from 1 species
GCCCAGAUGGCGAAAUCGGCAGACGCAUCAGACUUAAAAUCUGAUGGUGCGUAAGCACCGUGCGGGUUCAAGUCCCGCUCUGGGCAC